rnacentral:pre_miRNA from 1 species
UUUGUACUCCCUCCAUCCCAAAAUUCUUGUCUUAAAUUUGUCUAAAUACGGAUGUAUCUAGUUACAUUUUAGUGUUAGAUACAUCCGUAUCUAAACAAAUGUAUGACAAGAAUUUUGGGACGGAGGGAAUACUAC